GGCUGGUACUUCCUAGGCCUGGGGAGACUGGAGAAGCCUCAGGCAGCUGACAGAUGGGGAGAGGGGAGGAGAGGGAGGGAGCCGAGAGCUGAAGAUUGUGGGGCAGUGGAAUCUAUUUCUAGAGAGAAAGGGGUGGUGUGAAUGCCCGGGAGCCAUGGGAAGGACUGGGGUGAGCUCAUGGAGGCUGCAUGUGAAUGGUGCUGAAGAGAAAGAGGACUGUGUGUGAAGACCAGGCCCCAGCGCACAUUCAGCCCUCCUGGAGGCGGUCCCUUCAUCUCACCACAGUGAAGGAGCCACCCCAGCAAGCGUGAUUGCCACCACCCCAAGAUGGGGAUGAAGAAGGACCCUGUCCUCAGGGCUCCCAGCCAAGCCUCUCCGGGGCUCCAUGCCAAGUGGUAACAAGGUUCCUGCUUUCUUUCCCAUGUGGGAGCUGGUCUGCCCUCACUGUCAAAGGUCCCCAGAAGUGAUCUGGGAGCUGGUGAAACGCCAGAGAGCUUUGCUUUGCGGUGGCUGUGGUUCGUACAGACCAACUCAUGUUGCUUGGGUCAAAGUUUUCUACCCUCCUGGCAGCUGACUGUUUCCAAAAAUGGGGAAGGCUACUUGCCACGUGUCUCUUAGAUGGACUUCUCUACAGAGCCCAGAGAGGCCCCUUAAUUUGGUGGCACCACACGUUGGAUGGGCUUCUGGAAGUCAGUGAACACCCUGAGAGGAAUCUGCAACCUUAAGAGUGAACCCUCGCCGGGCGUGGUGGCUCAAGCCGGAAAUCCCAGCACUUUGGGAGGCCGAGGCGGGUGGAUCACGAGAUCAAGAGAUCGAGACCAUCCUGGUCAACAUGAUUAUAGAUGAUGAGGAGGCUUGAAUUCACUCUCCCUGACUCUGAAGACCCAGCCGUUUCCCUCAGUUUCCAGUUUUGCUGGCACCCUCAGGGUGAGUAGAGGUCUGGGUGGGAAGCUGGAGGUGAAGCUAGCAGCACGUUGGAAGCUCUGCCCAUUCCUGAUGGGGCUCACCUUCUCUCUGCUGGCCUGGGGAAUGCUCCUGAGAUUCCUGAGUUGGCUUGGCGCUGGCUUCCUUGGCCCCCUCCCUCCCAAGUAGCAGCUGUGAAGUUGACGAAUUACGCUAAACUGUGAUGCCUCCUCGGGAGCCUGUUGCAGGACGUGCUGUGAUGGCUUCCCAAGAAGGCGACAGGCACGUGGUCUGCAAACGAGCCGGUUUGCUCCCUCGCUCAGCACAGCAGCUGCUCAGAGGCAGCGUGGGCUCUGAGCGGCCCGCCAGGGGAGCCUAUUAAGAGCCACAACACUGUGAAAAGCACAGCAGAAACGCUCCAUUAAAUCUCGUGGGGGGCCUGCUUAACAAUGGGACCUGCCCCGGGAGUCGGCGCUCCACUCAACCCUGCCUCAGUCUCCAGCCUGGCUCUCCUCGCUCUGCCCCUUCAGUCUCUUCCCUAAAGGGCUUCGGGCUUGAGAAGCUCUGAGUGUCUGGCUGGAGUUGGUAAAACUGUGGCUGGAAGGGUGUAGCCAGGGCCCAAGCAGGCAGCGAAUCCAAUGGCAAUGUUCUCUACACGGCCUGGGAUGGGAAUAAGCGUGCUAUCGGGUGUAGGGCAUGAUAUUGAUGAGGAUGCUGACAGCAAGGAUCAUCUGGGCAUAGGGACCUCUGCUCUGGACCUGCCCGCUCUGGCCCCCUUCCAGCCAUAUUCCUCCCCAAAGGGCAAUAAAUCCUUAAGGCCAGGAGGAUACAUCUGCCCAAGGACAGUAAUCCUCUUUCUUUUAUUUUUUUUUGAGACGGAGUUUAACUCUGUUGCCCAGGCUGGAGUGCAAUGGCACAAUCUCAGCGCACUGCAACCUCCACCUCCCAGGUUCAAGUGAUCCUCCUGCCUCAGCCCCCCUAGUGGCUGGGAUUACAGGCACCUGCCACCACGCCCGGCUAAUUUUUGUAUUUUUAGUAGAGACUGGGUUUCUCCAUUUUGGCCAGGCUGGUCUCAAACUCCUGACCUCAGGUGAUCCACCCGCCUCAGCCUCCCAAAAUGCUGGGAUUAAAGGCGUGAGCCACUGCACCUGGUUCAGUGACCUUUUUUCUACACCAUACUUCCGGUACUCAAGAACCUGCAAUUCCCUGCCAAAUGGCUCCACAUCUGCUGCUAGGUCUGUGUAAGCUUCUUCCCAGCACUUUCUUUAAAGAAUGGAGUGUCCCACUGGGGGUACGGACAGAGCUUGGACAUGCCAGCUGCGUGUCCGCAUGUGUGCGAGGUCCCUCAAAGGCACGACAGAGCCCAGUGUGGGAAGAGGUGGGGGGCAGCCUGGGGGCGGGAAGUCAUCUUUCCCCGUAGCUCCAUUUGCCAGUGUGAGCUCCCAGGAGCCUGGAAAUUCUAUAUUUAAACUUUCCAGGCAUAUGAAGGUAUAUUUGUCAAGGUAGGAGGGUAGAGCAUAUUUUUGUUAACAGUUUGUUAGCUUGAUUUAUAAUUGUAACCAUUGUGCUCCUGGGUAAGUGUUUGGGGUGGGCCCAAGCACAGGUGGUGGCGAGAGCAGGCUUUGUUUAUCAUCUGAGUGUCUCAAGCAGGCUAGGCCAACGGCCAUGCCUUCAGACUGGCAAGCCAAGUGCCCAGUGAGAGGCAAACACUGUGGGAUUCUCCAGGCCCCGCAGGAAAGACUCAUUUGUCUUCUGGAAUCUUCUGCUCUGGGAUGAGAAUGGUAAAGAUGAGGGUGCUGGUGAGCUGGCAGGAGCCCUGUAAAGAGGCACCUGGGUAAGCUGUGGUCUGGUGAGGAAAGGGCCCUCAUCCAGGUACAUCCUCCUUGGCCUCUGACCAUGUCCUUGACUUCACCAGCUUGUCAGGGAAGAGACAGAUAUGCUGCUCUUGUCCUCACAUGCUGGUGAUUUUGAGAUCUCAUCUCUUCUUCCUGGUUGUUUACCUCUAUGUGUCCCCUACUGCCCUCCCAUCACAGACACAUCAUGAAGUCGUGCAAUAACUCUUAGGAGGGAACAAACCACCGGGGAGGAAGCUCCUUCCUCGAGGGUCUCCUACCCUGAUAAAGACCUCUGUUGGACAUGGCAGUGUUUCCCCAUGAGCAGUGCUACUAGAGGGCUUGUUUGGGAAGGGGCGUGGAAAGGAGAGUCACCUUUGUGAUUUCCAAGUGGCCUGCUGCUAUUGGCAGGAAUCGGAGGAAAGGAAGAGAGUAGGAAAAGAGCCUUCUUACAUUUAUCAGAAACCAAAAAUGUAUUUGAAAGGCUUUCCUGGAUCUCUGUCUCUGCCUUCAUCUAUGUAUCUGUCACCAAUCUAUCCAUCAGUCACCCUGUCUAUCUAAUCUCUCUCGCUCCCUCCAUCUGUCUAUCAUCUGUGUUUGUUGGUUUCUUUUUUCCAAACAUGAGUUUUUAACAUAUUGACCGCGAUCCUCUAUUUUCUGGGCUGUGAGCCAUAUUAUUACCUCAUUUCAUCCUUAUGAGAACCCUGUGAAGUAUUAUCCUUAUUCCAUAAAUGGGGAAACUGAGACUUUCAGAGGCAAAACAACCAGCCUGAGGCCAUGUAGCUUAGAAAUGGCAGAGUUGGGGCCCAAGUCCGUGUCAUCUGACUUUGAGCUUUUUACUGCUUGCACUGAGGGAAGAUUAUCUCUAGGCAAAUUCUUUCUUCUUCUUUUUUUUUAAAAUCUGGAAGAGAAAUGCUGCCUUGAGUGUUUGCUUAUCUCUCUCGAGCAGGUUCCCAGGGUCUUGAUUUUGGGCUCCAGUCCCGAGGGGCCUGUUGGGGAUCAGCACUGACUUUGCCAUGUGGCUCAGGUUCCCAGGGCCUUGGUUUUGGCUGCAGCCCCGAGGGCCUGACGGGCAUCAGUGCUGACCUUUCCGUGUGGCUGCAGGCUUGGCCCACCUGCUCAUCAGAGCGCUUUGACACUAGUGUACCGUCUGGGUGUGCCUGGCAGUCAGACUGUGCAGGCCGGCUUUGACAAAGUGACAGAAGCUGUAAAAACAGCUGUUUGACAUUCUCUGCUGCUUUUUAGAACAAAACAACUGCAAAGAGGUUGAAUGCAAUGCAGAAAAUACCCGUGUUUCAUGCGUAUAAGGAUAUUUUUACUUACAGAACAUUUAUUUUCUCCUUCCUUUCUCUAUUCCUGUUUAUCUCCCCAAGCAUUUGCUUCCCUUCCUCUUUGCUUCCUUCUUCUACUUCGUCCUCCUUCCUUCCUUUUAUUCUUCUAACUAAAAAAACUUCCUGCUUCUGUUUCUAUGUUUUUUCUCCUCUCAAUUUUCUUCCCUUGAAAUAACUAUUAGCUAUUUUUCCUUGUUUCCCAUUUUCACACCAUCCAUGUCUUGGUGUAUUAAUUUGUCUCUCUAGCUUUGGGUCCAUAUUAUCCCAAAUGUGUAGCUUUAUGAACUCCAGUAUUAGUUAUCUGACAGCCCAUGGUGUCUUCAAUGAAACCAAGGUGUGGACAGGAAAUUCCAAAACAAAAGGAAAUAGUAUCCCCCUGGCAAACCGUCAUUUAAUUUAGAUAACUAAAGGUGUGUAUAAAAGAACGGGACAUCUGGCAGUAAGUGGCAGCCCCACCGGCCACCUCCAUCACCUCCAGUUACAGGAGCUUGGAGAGCUGUUGUCACGUUUAGUUUUAACUUUGAAAUUGUGACUGAGCUCUGCACUGUGGUUUCAUCCAGGUUCAAAAGUGUGCUUCCGUUCAACCAGCUGCUCCUUGCACAAACUCCUUCCUUACAGUGAGAGGAACUCCAGGUUUCAAGGUAUACACAGGUAGGAACAGGUAAAUUAUGUGCAUUCACCUUAAUCAUUAGAUGCAGUUUGACCAAGUUUAACGUGGAAGAUGAACUUUUACAUCCUCCAGUCAUUCUUGGCUCUUGGGAUCACUGGAUUCCGAGUCUUCACUCCUGUGUACGUUACCUGCACCUUCCACGGCCCUUUUGGGUUCUCUUGAACCUAAAAAUCCUUUGCUCCAUGGCCUAUUUAAUCCCACUAAUGCUGUGUCCCCUACCUUCCAUCUCUCUUUCCAUCCCCUUUUCCUCUACUCUAUCCAGACAAAGCUGUUUCUUUCAACUGCCCUUGAAUGUCCUUCACAGUUUUUUCCCCAUGGUUCCUCGUCCCUUGUUCUAAUUAUUUUCCUUCCUAAACUGAUGAGACAUUUCUUGCCUCCUUCCCCUUCUUACUUCCUACUGUCUUAUUCUCCACCAAGAGCCUCCUGGCUUAUCUCAGACUUGGCAUUGCGGAGCUGCCGGUCCAUUUCCACAUGCAGAAGAUGACGUUGGGUCUGCAGCUGGAGACAGCUAUGAUCGCUGUCAGAUCUAUGGCCAAAUACAGGCUUUCUGCUUCAUCCUCCCUGAACUAGAUCUACAAAUAUGUCAUUCACAGAAUGGAGAAGCUUUAAGCCUCCCUCUAAUCCCUGCACGGAGGAGAAAAGAUGAUGGCUACGGGCAGGUAGAGUCUAUAAGAGAGUGCAGGAAGGGUUGAGUUAUGCAUUUACAAAUGCUUCAGGCCGGGCGUGGUGGCUCAAGCCUGUAAUCCCAGCACUUUGGGAGGCCGAGGCGGGUGGAUCACGAGGUCAUGAGAUCGAGACCAUCCUGGUCAACAUGGUGAAACCCUGUCUCUACUAAAGAUACAAAAAAUUAGCUGGGCAUGGUGGUGCGUGCCUGUAAUCCCAGCUACUUGGGAGGCUGAGGCAGGAGAAUUGCCUGAACCCAGGAGGCAGAGGUUGCGGUGAGCCGAGAUCGCGCCAUUGCACUCCAGCCUGGGUAACAAGAGUGAAACUCCGUCUCAAAAAAAAAAACCAAAUGUUUCAUCAACCUUGCCAAUCAGAGAGUUCAUUUCUUCUCCUUUGGGGAGAGCCAGAGGGAGUAGAGAGAGGACGGAGAGGGUUUAAGUGUUCUUUCCCAGGGAAUGGAAUGGAAUGCCUCUUUCCCCAUGGAAACAUAAGAUGUAGGGUAUAGCCUCUUAAUAUUUGACUUUUGGACAGGAAAUAGAAAGGGGCUGUCACAAUUCCCAAGGGGCUAGGAAUUUUGGUGACCUCCUUAAUAUUUUUAUGGUGCAGAGAAGGGUAGAAAUUGAGACUCUUCCAGCCCAUCUCCUACCUCUUUCCCUUGCUGACUUCAGCUCUUACCCAUCCAAUCCUUUAAGGCCUAUACCCACUUGUCCAAGCUCUGCUUGUACAAGUGUGUAUGAGGGGUGCACAUAUUUGUGGCACUGUCCACCCUUGGAAAUAUGGACCUGCAGAAGUGGCCUGUGAAGGGCAGGAAAUUCCAGUGUCCCAGGUACCCAGAGUGUCACCUACAAGGGAGGUCAUAGGCUCCUGGAGGGCAUGUCUCUUCACCUGUGGACUUGUCACCCUUGAGGAGGGGAUAAGAGGGAAGAAGGGUGGACUACAGGGGUCUCUAAACUGUGGAGCCAAGGGCAGAGGCCCUGGUUACCCAGGACCAGGGUGGUACUCUAUAUAUGCCCUAUAGAUUUACCAUAUACCCAUUACUGGGUUUUGCUGACUUCCUGUUCCUGGACAUGUUCUUAUCAGAAGAUGCCCAAGGCAGAAGUGCAACCACACAUGGAAUUGCAGACCUGGGACCUUCUCUUUAGUCUUAACACCUUUCCGAUUCCAGCCAAGAAUGUGUUGUGAUUCCAAAACACUCAACGAUGUGUUAGAUCUAUUCUUGUUUCUGCAUUGAUUCACAAUGAAUAAAAAUUAAGUUGGUACCAAAUUUUAUGGACUCAUUAAAAAAAAAAUUCCUCCUUUUUGAGCAUUAACUAGAUAGUGCCUGUGGAAGCAGAAGGCACUUUUAAUUAGCAUAUUAUCACAGCAAAGAGGAACCCUGAUAAUUGCGCACCAGCCUCAAGCUGCAGCCUUCUCUCACCUGGCAAUCCACUGCCAAGGACUUGUCUCUGUACACCCUACCCACCCUAGCACUCCCAAGACUCAUUUUUAUUACAGAGUCAUCUCCAGUCACAGUACUCCUAUCUUUUGCUUGUCUGUGCUUCUAUGUGCCAGCAGGAUAUUCCCACCCUUACCUCCUCCCAGGUUGCUUGUGUUAGUAAUGAACUUCCAUGCCUAUGCCUUGCUUCCUAUGGUGUUCUCCUGGGAGGUAGGGAUAACAUCUCAAGUGGGUUCUUUGUAAUACCUUUCCUUAUAUUCUAAUGGGUUCCCAGGUAGAAAUGAAAGAGAGCAGUGAGAGAGUAAAAGCACCAAGUAGUAGUUACUUAUGUAGCUCAUAUGCUAUAGAGGAAGACAGAGCUGUUUUCUAGGGUGAUGGUUUUCAAGCUUUACUGGUCCUAAGACUCAACCGAGAAAUGUGUACAAGAUGCAGAUAACCGGCCCUGCUGCCUCAGAGACUCCCAGAAAUUCUGAUCAAGAUUUGAAAACAACUUCCCAGGGGCAUGUCUUUCAAAAGCAGCCUUACCGACAGGAAAUAUCACACGAAUCUUUCAAAAACAAAUACUGUUUGUUUUUUUUUUAAAAAGGAACUUUCCUAAUGAAUGUUGAGAAAGUACAAAUAGAAUAAGUUUUCUUUGCACACACACACAUAUAAAAAUGAUACUAAAAAAUAUACAUGUCAAAUGCAAAAUUGCCUACUUCAUUGAGCUGGUGGGUUUAAUUCACUCAUAAUUAAUCCUAGAUUUAUGUUCAGCUGUGACCGGCCUGCAUUUGACCUUCUUACCUGUCCUCAUGCUCUCUGUUGUUUCUAUGGUUUUUCUCAUUAACUGUUGGAUUUGACAGCCCUGAGGCAGACUCCCAGGUCAGGCUUGGCCACUGACUUCCUGGGCACGCAGUCCCGCCUUCUGCCCACUGGCUGAAAUGUAGAAACAUUCUUUCACACCACUGCUUUCAUCAGGGUUUACGACACAGAAGAAACAUUGUAAAUUGUCUCAUAUUUUUUACGCUUAUUUAAAAAUCCAAAGUAUAAAGUAAACAAAUAAAUGUAUAGUUUAUUUCAUCUCCCAAACGACUCAAAAUAUCCUCUAGACUUCAGACACGCAGUUAGAAAACCAUCCUUUGAAGUUGAAAAAUGAGAACGAGGUUAGAAUACACAUAACUAACCCACUGUGAGUUUGUAAAUGUAUUUUCAGUGAGUUUAGAUUAAUUUGCAAAUCUCCUUAAGAAACAAAGAUGUCUCCCACGUCUUUCCAAAUUAAAAUGUGAUGUGGAGAAAAGUUGUCUAAUUAAUUGUAACAUGUCUGAGGUGAUGUUGUCAAGCAGAAGUUUGGGUACUGUCUUGAGUCCAGAUUAAAAGGAACACCAAGAAACAUUUUUCGGCACAUGCACCUGCGAUUUCCAUCUAUUUCGUCGGUAUAUUCUUAGAACAGAGAAGGGGUGUGUUCAAACGAAACAUAUGUUCCAGAACAAGACGACAUUUCUAAUAGGAAUACUCUCAAAGUUUCAAUUCUAUACUUGGCUUCUUAACCUGGCCUCAUGGGUUUUAAUUCACUUAUAGUUUGUCUCAGAUUUCUUGUUUCUUACUAGCUUUUUGGGACACUUUUGUGAUUAGUCUGAUGAACUGUUGCUUUAAACUUCCAUUCUAAGAUUAGCUAUUAAAACCAUUUUCACUUUUAAGACCUUGUGCUCCUUUUGCCCUGGUUCCACGCUUGCCACUAGGGAGCUGCUGGCCUACACACAAAGGGGGCGCUCCUGGCAGUCGCUCAGGAAGAAGGCACAGUGGGCAACUUCUACCUUCAGUUCCAGAAAUGCAAACCCUCCUGAGAGCUAAAUGUGUUCUUGCAUCUUCAAAGCAGUGGGUACCAGGAGAAGAGCCAUAUUCGGAGGCAAGUGUUGAGCGCAUCCAGCCCGGGCAGCCAGUUCCCAAGCCUCUCUUCAGUCACCAGGCAGUAAACGGUUUACAGACACCGAGUGACUUGUGUGUCUACUUAGAAGACAAGAAGGGUGGAACCAAUCAGAAAAGGCAUCUUUCUAAGAAGAGGAGAGGACACAGAGAGGCACACAGAGAAGUGAUGAGAAGACGGAGGUGGAGAUUGGAGUGAUGAUGCAUCUACAAGCCAGGGAACAUCAAGGACUGCCAGCAACCACCAGAAGCCAGGAGAGAGGCAUGAGGCAGUUCUUCCUCCGAUCCUUCAGAGGAAAUCAACUCUACUGACACCAAGAUUUUGGAUUCUAGCCUCCUAAGAUAAGGCAGAACAAGGCAGGAGAUUCAAAGUCUUCAUUGCUGACCCGAAGUGGAGCGUACAUCAGAGGUCAGCAAGCCAAGUGUCUAUCUUAUCGUCAAAUUCCCCUGUAUCUCUGCAGGACUGUCUGAGGCUUGGGGGAAUGAUGCCAAACAGACAUCAUUUAACCAACAAGGUUGCCCUCCCUGUACUCAAAGCCUGCUGGGGGAGGAUGAGACUGGGUGUCAGAUGGCCAAUUACUCCUGUUUAUACAAGCACGUCACAGGGUAAGCAUCCUCUGCCGAGUCCGUUCUGGGAUUGAAUUGUCAAAUGCCCAUCAAUGAUAGGCUGGAUAAAGAAAAUGUGGCACAUAUACACCAUGGAAUACUAUGCAACCACAAAAAAGGAUGAGUUUGUGUCCUCUGCAGGGACAUGGAUGAAGCUGGAAAUCAUCGCUCUCAGCAAACUGACACAAGAACAGAAAACCAAACACUGCAUGUUCUCACUCAUGAGUGGGUAUUGAACAGUGAUAACGCAUGGACACAGGGAGGGGAGCAUCACACACUGGGGCCUGUUU